AGCUUCUCUAGAUGGGGGUGUGUAGCAGAAAUGCUGAGUCAUGGCCUGAAGCAGUGAUUGAUCACCUGGCGGGCCAACCCAGGGGAGCUCAGCUGCAUGCAAUGCCCCUGAGUGACUGGAAGGGCUGGAUCCAGGAUCCACCCCUUCCCAGACUUCAUUUAAGGGUUGGCAGUGGAGUUGAGGGUAUCUUGCUAAAGAUCCUUGCCUACCAGAGGCCUUCUAAGGGUGGUACCUUGACAGCCGGAAGAACACAGGCUGUAAGUGUUCAGAGCUGCAUGCUUUCCAGGUGGAUUCGGUGAUUUCCAUGUCUGUGUGAUGCAUUACUUGGCACAUGAGCACAACACAUACCGUCACUUCAUCGUACUCAUCACUGACAACCCCAGCUCUAGGACAAGCAGAUGAAAAAUCAUCUCUACACUGUCACUUCCCUUCUUCCUCCUGCACUAGUUCAAAG
ensembl:lncRNA